UUCCUCCUUUAGGGACAAAAAGCUCCAUGAGAAAUGACACGGAACAUAUAGCAGCCACUUCCACAGUGGACCCAUGGCACUCCUCAUCCUUUCUGAAUAGAUUGAAAUCUUGGAGUUGAAUACAAAGCAGAGAAACGGUAUCCAUCUUGUGGAUUUCCUAGAUCCUCAUGCAUACUGUGGUG